rnacentral:sRNA from 1 species
GUCUUCGAUCUGCUGCGGGCAGAUGAAGUGGAUGUGGGAAUCGAUGCCGCCCGCCGUGACGAUCAUCCCCUCGCCCGCGAUGACCUCGGUCCCCGGUCCGAUGGUGAUGUUGACCCCGGGCUGGAUAUCGGGAUUGCCGGCCUUGCCGAGGCCGGCGAUAUGCCCGUCCUUGAUCCCGAUGUCGGCCUUGAUGAUGCCCGUGUAGUCGAGGAUGAGCGCGUUGGUGAUGACGGUAUCGACCGAAUCGCGAGCACCGCGCUGGCUCUGGCCCAUGCCGUCGCGGAU